rnacentral:rRNA from 1 species
AAGUCGAGGGGCAGCAUCAUUAAAGCUUGCUUUGAUGGAUGGCGACCGGCGCACGGGUGAGUAACACGUAUCCAACCUGCCGACAACACUGGGAUAGCCUUUCGAAAGAAAGAUUAAUACCGGAUGGCAUAGUCUUCCCGCAUGGGAUGACUAUUAAAGAAUUUCGGUUGUCGAUGGGGAUGCGUUCCAUUAGGCAGUUGGCGGGGUAACGGCCCACCAAACCAACGAUGGAUAGGGGUUCUGAGAGGAAGGUCCCCCACAUUGGAACUGAGACACGGUCCAAACUCCUACGGGAGGCAACAGUGAGGAAUAUUGGUCAAUGGACGAGAGUCUGAACCAGCCAAGUAGCGUGAAGGAUGACUGCCCUAUGGGUUGUAAACUUCUUUUAUACGGGAAUAAAGUGAGCCACGUGUGGCUUUUUGUAUGUACCGUAUGAAUAAGGAUCGGCUAACUCCGUGCCAGCAGCCGCGGUAAUACGGAGGAUCCGAGCGUUAUCCGGAUUUAUUGGGUUUAAAGGGAGCGUAGGCGGGUUGUUAAGUCAGUUGUGAAAGUUUGCGGCUCAACCGUAAAAUUGCAGUUGAUACUGGCGACCUUGAGUGCAACAGAGGUAGGCGGAAUUCGUGGUGUAGCGGUGAAAUGCUUAGAUAUCACGAAGAACUCCGAUUGCGAAGGCAGCUUACUGGAUUGUAACUGACGCUGAUGCUCGAAAGUGUGGGUAUCAAA